GCAUAUCAAUAAGCGGAGGAAAAGAAACCAACAGGGAUUGCCCUAGUAACGGCGAGUGAAGCGGCAACAGCUCAAAUUUGAAAUCUGGCUCUUUCAGAGUCCGAGUUGUAAUUUGCAGAGGGCGCUUUGGCUUUGGCAGCGGUCCAAGUUCCUUGGAACAGGACGUCACAGAGGGUGAGAAUCCCGUACGUGGUCGCUAGCUAUUGCCGUGUAAAGCCCCUUCGACGAGUCGAGUUGUUUGGGAAUGCAGCUCUAAAUGGGAGGUAAAUUUCUUCUAAAGCUAAAUAUUGGCCAGAGACCGAUAGCGCACAAGUAGAGUGAUCGAAAGAUGAAAAGCACUUUGGAAAGAGAGUCAAACAGCACGUGAAAUUGUUGAAAGGGAAGCGCUUGCAGCCAGACUUGCUUGCAGUUGCUCAUCCGGGCUUUUGCCCGGUGCACUCUUCUGCAGGCAGGCCAGCAUCAGUUUGGGCGGUGGGAUAAAGGUCUCUGUCACGUACCUUCCUUCGGGUUGGCCUUAUAGGGGAGACGCCAUACCACCAGCCUGGACUGAGGUCCGCGCAUCUGCUAGGAUGCUGGCGUAAUGGCUGUAAGCGGCCCGUCUUGAAACACGGACC
rnacentral:rRNA from 1 species